rnacentral:rRNA from 1 species
CAGUAGCCGCGGUAAUACGGAGGGUGCAAGCGUUAAUCGGAAUUACUGGGCGUAAAGCGCACGCAGGCGGUCUGACAAGUCAGAUGUGAAAUCCCCGGGCUUAACCUGGGAACUGCAUUUGAAACUGUCAGACUGGAGUCUUGUAGAGGGGGGUAGAAUUCCAGGUGUAGCGGUGAAAUGCGUAGAGAUCUGGAGGAAUACCGGUGGCGAAGGCGGCCCCCUGGACAAAGACUGACGCUCAGGUGCGAAAGCGUGGGGAGCAAACAGGAUUAGAGACCCCUGUAGUCCCUGUCUCUUAUAC